rnacentral:lncRNA from 1 species
CCGCUCCGCAGCGCAGCGCAUGGAGCCCGGCGGGGACCACCGGAGCCGGAGCAGCGGCGGCAGGGGCGGCCCCGGGCCAGCAGUGGCCUCGGCACGGGGCCGACGGCUGCCGCCCGCCGGAUCGAGCGGCAGCGCGGAGCCAGAGGAAGACGAAGGCGACUAGCCUGGAUCCAGCGCUGGAAGGAUGCUUAGAGACCAGCCAGCUAGCCAGUGUCGUUGCAGACAAAGA